AUCGCGAGGUUUGGGGCGUGACAAUAUAGACUGUGAGCCCACGUUUAAUAAUCACGCUAAGGAGUUCAGCGAGCUAUCUGCAAAGGCCUGAUUAGUCUACCAGCUGUACAAGAAUGCGCAAGACUGUAAAGGUAUUCUUCUAGAACCUCCGAAGUGGCAGGCGGCCACGAGUUUUCACGGCGUUCAAUAAAUGCAGCGAAGCGCCCGUCUUGAAGAAGCCGUGCCUGUGUUGUCAUUUCGGAGUUACAAUUUUUAUGAUGUUGUUGCAAAGUAUGCGUCUGUAGAGCUAAAUCAUGAUGAUUGUUCCAAACUAAGAAAAUGAAACGAUGGACAGAAAAUUCAGCAGCAGCUACUAAAUCACCAAAGUGUUUCCAGUUGCCCUCCUGUGAUGGCUGCAGUUACAGCCACACAGUUGUAAAA